UACAGAGGGUGCAAGCGUUGUUCGGAAUUAUUGGGCGUAAAGGGCGCGUAGGCGGUGCGGUAAGUCUGUAGUGAAAUCUCUGGGCUCAACUCAGAGUCUGCUAUAGAAACUGCAGUGCUGGAGUGUGGGAGAGGUGAGUGGAAUUCCCGGUGUAGCGGUGAAAUGCGUAGAUAUCGUAAGGAAGACCAGUGGCGAAGGCGGGUCUCUGGACAGUUCCUGACGCUGAGGCACGAAGGUCAGGGGAGCAAACGGG
rnacentral:rRNA from 1 species